rnacentral:rRNA from 1 species
GUGCCAGCCGCCGCGGUAAUACGUAGGGUGCGAGCGUUGUCCGGAAUUACUGGGCGUAAAGAGCUCGUAGGCGGCUUGUCGCGUUGUUCGUGAAAAUUUACCGCUCAACGGUGAACUUGCGGGCGAUACGGGCAGGCUAGAGUACUGCAGGGGAGACUGGAAUUCCUGGUGUAGCGGUGAAAUGCGCAGAUAUCAGGAGGAACACCGGUGGCGAAGGCGGGUCUCUGGGCAGUAACUGACGCUGAGGAGCGAAAGCGUGGGGAGCGAACAGGAUUAGAAACCCCUGUAGUCC